GCCGGACCCGACUGCUAUCAGAGUGGGACUAAGCCAUGCGAGUCAACAUAGCAAUAUGUGGCAUACGGCUCAGUAACACGUAGUCAACAUGCCCAGGGGACGUGGAUAACCUCGGGAAACUGAGGAUAAACCGCGAUAAGUCACUACUUCUGGAAUGGGUAAUGACUUAAAUCUAUAUGGCCCCUGGAUUGGACUGCGGCCGAUCAGGCUGUUGGUGAGGUAAUGGCCCACCAAACCUGUAACCGGUACGGGCUCUGAGAGGAGGAGCCCGGAGAUGGGCACUGAGACAAGGGCCCAGGCCCUAUGGGGCGCAGCAGGCGCGAAACCUCUGCAAUAGGCGAAAGCCUGACAGGGUUACUCUGAGUGAUUUCCGUUAAGGAGAUCUUUUGGCACCUCUAAAAAUGGUGCAGAAUAAGGGGUGGGCAAGUCUGGUGUCAGCCGCCGCGGUAAUACCAGCACCCCGAGUGGUCGGGACGUUUAUUGGGCCUAAAGCAUCCGUAGCCGGUUCUGCAAGUCUUCCGUUAAAUCCACCUGCUUAACAGAUGGGCCGCGGAAGAUACUAUAGAGCUAGGGGGCGGGAGAGGCAAGCGGUACUCGAUGGGUAGGGGUAAAAUCCGUUGAUCCAUUGAAGACCACCAGUGGCGAAGGCGGCUUGCCAGAACGCGCUCGACGGUGAGGGAUGAAAGCUGGGGGAGCAAACCGGAUUAGAUACCCGGGUAGUCCCAGCUGUAAACGAUGCAGACUCGGUGAUGAAUUGGCUUCAUGCCAAUUCAGUGCCGCAGGGAAGCCGUUAAGUUUGCCGCCUGGGGAGUACGGUCGCAAGACUGAAACUUAAAGGAAUUGGCGGGGGAGCACCACAAGGGGUGAAGCCUGCGGUUCAAUUGGAUUCAACGCC
rnacentral:rRNA from 1 species